rnacentral:rRNA from 1 species
ACGGAAGGCAGCAGUGGGGAAUAUUGCACAAUGGGGGAAACCCUGAUGCAGCGACGCCGCGUGAAGGAAGAAGUAUCUCGGUAUGUAAACUUCUAUCAGCAGGGAAGAUAAUGACGGUACCUGACUAAGAAGCCCCGGCUAACUACGUGCCAGCAGCCGCGGUAAUACGUAGGGGGCAAGCGUUAUCCGGAUUUACUGGGUGUAAAGGGAGCGUAGACGGUGCUGCAAGUCUGAAGUGAAAGGCAUGGGCUCAACCUGUGGACUGCUUUGGAAACUGUGGUGCUUGAGUACCGGAGGGGUAAGCGGAAUUCCUAGUGUAGCGGUGAAAUGCGUAGAUAUUAGGAGGAACACCAGUGGCGAAGGCGGCUUACUGGACGGUAACUGACGUUGAGGCUCGAAAGCGUGGGGAGCAAACAGGAUUAGAUACCCUGGUA